GAGCAGAACCAGUGCUGAAAAGGUCUCCUCUCUUCUACCCACUCUGUCCUCCACAGGGAAAACAAAGCACAAAAGAAGGGAAAUGUGCUAAGAGUGAGGGACAUAGGGAAAAUAUGCCAUGAAGGGGAAGAAAAACCUGGUACAUAAAAGGUGCUAUUAAUAGAUAAUUUGUGGCAGUUCUCUUUCAACAGGUGCGUUUGUAUUCCAUCCUGCAUGGCAACACUUGCUUUAGAAAACCAUACAGACAGAUCCAGAAGGGCUGCUGUGGAGGCUUUGAAGACUUCAUAUUCUCAGUAAAGAACCUCCUGUAUCUGAGGACAUGGCACUGUCAGGAAUAUAUUCAGACCCAUUCCUAAGAAGUGUGUCGAAACCAUCUCCCCAGGAAAUACUGGAACAGCAUGGAUUGCCUCAGAUGGGAGCUAUGUCCCCUCCUGUGAAGCAGGACUAGCAACUACCUGCUGCAAAAGAAACAGCAAUGCCAAGAUGGAAGGAGGCUUACUGAAGCAGAAACAGCUCCAAGAGAGAAGGAUGCCUGGAGGUAGCAGUGCAGCUAAGACAUGGCUGGAGCUAGAUGGGCAACCCCAAAAAUGUGAGGAAGAUUGAGGGUGUUUAGGAUGGACUCAGGGACUUGAUAAUUGUCUGAAGGAAGUUAACAGAGAAUUUCAGCCAUUAACAGGUGUGAUUCAGGAGGAACAGGAGUUGAAACCUACUUCCAGGGCAGGUAAUAGCUGGAAAGAAAGGUGGAACAGAGCUGGAAAGCAUAAAGCAUCUUGCACAUGGAAGAGAUGAGAGGAAAUCCAUAAUUUAUGGAAGUAAAAAUAGGAUGGGGCAACCCAGCUGCCGGAGUGAGGUAAGGUGUUUUGGAGGAAGAACUAAUGAGACAUAGUAACAUUUGUGAGAAGGGAGAAACUGUAUGACCUACAAGGAGAACACCUGGAUUGAAUUGGAAAGAGGAAGCAGUAAAUAUAGAAUUUACAGAUGCUGGCUCUAAAGAAAUGCAAAGGAAUCAGGAAAAAUAAUAGUGUACUGAAAGAACAUAACCAAAAGGACAGCUAGUCCCUGGCUGAUGAAGAAUUGGUGGGCCAUCUGCCUUCAACCCAGGCAUAUGGCAGCCCCAUACUGGGUGCUGGAAGCUACACUGGCAGAAAGGCGAAAGAGAUGGGUCCACCUUAGGAGAAAAGAGGUAAGGAACCAGAGGUGAGAGUGCAAAAGGGCCUGACUACAGAAAAAAAGGGAGGUUAGGGCCAGAAUUACCUGUGUGGUGAAGCUGGUCCUGGGGCAGAGAUGAAGAGGAGAAGUGGCAACUGGAGGGGUAGCAGUUCAUACUUAUAAAAAUCUUCACAUAAAAGGAGACUAGGAGAACUGACAGUACCCUCUCUACAACAGCUGAAUCACAUGUGCA